rnacentral:rRNA from 1 species
GACGAACGCUGGCGGCGUGCUUAACACAUGCAAGUCGAACGGAAAGGCCCUGCUUUUGUGGGGUGCUCGAGUGGCGAACGGGUGAGUAACACGUGAGUAACCUGCCCUUGACUUUGGGAUAACUUCAGGAAACUGGGGCUAAUACCGGAUAGGAGCUCCUGCUGCAUGGUGGGGGUUGGAAAGUUUCGGCGGUUGGGGAUGGACUCGCGGCUUAUCAGCUUGUUGGUGGGGUAGUGGCUUACCAAGGCGUUGACGGGUAGCCGGCCUGAGAGGGUGACCGGCCACAUUGGGACUGAGAUACGGCCCAGAUUCCUACGGGAGGCAACAGUGGGGAAUAUUGCACAAUGGGCGGAAGCCUGAUGCAGCGACGCCGCGUGCGGGAUGACGGCCUUCGGGUUGUAAACCGCUUUCGCCUGUGACGAAGCGUGAGUGACGGUAAUGGGUAAAGAAGCACCGGCUAACUACGUG